rnacentral:SRP_RNA from 1 species
ACCGGGCGUGGUGCCCACGCUUGUAGGCCCAGCUACUCAGCAGUCUGAGGCUGGAGGAUCACUUGAGCCCAGGAGUUCUGGGCUAUCGUGCGCCGAUCAGGCGUCGAUAUAUGCCGAUCAGGUGUCCACACUAAGUUCGGCAUCAAUAUAGUGACCUCCUGGCAGCGGGGGACCACCAGGUUGCCUAAGGAGGGGUGAACCGGCCCAGGCUGGAAACAGAGCAGGUUAGUGCUCCCGUGCUGAUUAGUAGUUGGGAUCGCACCUGUGAAUAGCCUCUGUGCUCCAGCCUGAGUGCAACAUGUAGCCAGACCCUGUCUCU